UCGAACGCGAAAGCCCCGAAAGGGGCAAGUAGAGUGGCAAACGGGUGAGUAACGCGUGGGUGACCUGCCUUCGAGCGGGGGAUAACGUUUCGAAAGGAACGCUAAUACCGCAUAACAUCCUGCCUUUGAAGAGGUGGAGAUCAAAGCUGGGGAUCGCAAGACCCGGCACUUGAAGAGGGGCCCGCGUCUGAUUAGCUAGUUGGUGGGGUAACGGCCUACCAAGGCAACGAUCAGUAUCCGGCCUGAGAGGGCGGACGGACACACUGGGACUGAGACACGGCCCAGACUCCUACGGGAGGCAGCAGUGGGGAAUUGUUCGCAAUGGGCGCAAGCCUGACGACGCAACGCCGCGUGGAGGAUGAAGAUUUUCGGAUCGUAAACUCCUGUCGAAUGGGACGAAAAAGUUGCGGGUUAACAGCCCGCGAUUCUGACGGUACCGUUAAAGGAAACCCCGGCUAACUCCGUGCCAGCAGCCGCGGUAAUACGGGGGGGGUAAGCGUUGUUCGGAAUUACUGGGCGUAAAGGGCUCGUAGGCGGCCAACUAAGUCAGACGUGAAAUCCCUCAGCUUAACUGGGGAACUGCGUCUGAUACUGGAUGGCUUGGAUUCGGGAGAGGGAUGCCGAAUUCCAGGUGUAGCGGUGAAAUGCGUAGAUAUCUGGAGGAACACCG
rnacentral:rRNA from 1 species